rnacentral:rRNA from 1 species
AACGAACGCUGGCGGCAUGCCUAACACAUGCAAGUCGAACGAGACCUUCGGGUCUAGUGGCGCACGGGUGCGUAACGCGUGGGAACCUGCCCUUAGGUUCGGAAUAACUCCCCGAAAGGGGUGCUAAUACCGGAUAAUGUCUUCGGACCAAAGAUUUAUCGCCUUUGGAUGGGCCCGCGUUGGAUUAGCUAGUUGGUAGGGUAAAAGCCUACCAAGGCGACGAUCCAUAGCUGGUCUGAGAGGAUGAUCAGCCACACUGGGACUGAGACACGGCCCAGACUCCUACAGGAGGCAGCAGUGGGGAAUAUUGGACAGUGGGCGGAAGCAUGAUGCAGCAAUGCCGCGUGAGUGAUGAAGGCCCUAGGGUUGUAAAGCUCUUUUACCCGGGAUGAUAAUGACAGUACCGGAAGAAUAAGCUCCGGCUAACUCCGUG